CCUUACCGGCCUGUUAUUCGUCAUUGUGUUUUGUGUACGUGUUUAUUUUGUUUUUUCCUUCUUUGCCAAACUAAUAAAAGAGGAAGAGUGCGCAUAACCCCGCUGCGUUUUGGUCCGACAAUGAUUUUUCUUUAUCAUCUAACGAAGGUGGGGAAGGUGUUGUUCCGACCAGAUGCUAGUAAAAAUAGUAACUGUAUUAUGUGGAUUGAAUGGAUGAUGCGUUGCGUACUAACUUGACGAUGUGGGAUAGAUAUGAUCAAAAUGCAGGAAUAUGCACGUCUGCGUUGAUGACAGGUUUGAAACCUGUUAUCAAAAUGGCUAUAACUGGGGUGGUGGAUCAGCAUUCUCACUGGGAUGAAAUAGUACAAGCAGCAUUGAGAGUAGAAUCAAAUUCCAUUUUCUACGCAGCAGUACGAGUGGUUAAUGCUGCCACAGUGAAAGUCACUAACAGUGGUUACAAUGGCCCAAAUAAGACAAAUGGACAGGGAAGGAAAGUGGUGGAAUCAUGUGAAGGCGUAAAGCUUUAGAUCCCUGUUUUAGGUGUGGGGCUAUCGGGCAUUGGAAGAAUGAGUGUAUGGUGGUACUGGAACCUGCUGCUUUGGGAGGAAAUGGCGCUGUAAAAGUGUUUGCAUCUUUGUCAAAAGAGCAGAAGCAAACCCUCUUAAAAGCAGUGGGACAGGAACAUUUUGCAUAGCAUUACAUGGCCUCCGUUCGAUCAAUAGUGGUUCAUAGAGAUGACGUUUUUUAUGUGAAAGGAGACGUAAGUGUCACGUCUCGCACAACUUUCUAAUAGAUACAGGCGCUCAAAUAUCACUAAUUCCAUAUGAUGACCGGAAAAAGUAUCACGUUCAGGGGGUAACAGGGGCACAAUCUAAAGCGAUACAACUAUUACCUAUGUCUUUAAAACUAGGACCAGGAUCAUUUUACAUGGCUACGGGAAUAGAACCGAUUUUGGGGUUGGAUAAUCUUUGCGAGAUGCCGGGGGAAUGGAUUCUGAAAGGUAAUAAAUUAAAAUUGGCUGUAAGAACGACGAAAGCCGAGCAAUUGUUGUUUCAGGACCAUCCAUUAUGGGCAAAAGACGCAUUAGAUUGUGGGCUAGUCUAAGGUUGCAAGCCUGUUGUAGUUGAGGGAGAACCGCCACCACCAAUGAAGCAAUACCCUUUUAAACCAGAGGCUGAGAAAUCGGUGGCGGAGGACCUUCCAAUAUUACUUGAACGUGAUCGUGAUCUAUUCCCUCAGACUCAGAAUGGUACAGUGUGUUAGACAUGAAAAACGGAUUUUGGUUGGUGAGGCUGAGGAGUCACGACACUGGUUCGGGUUCUGUUGCCAGGGGGAGCAAUUUACGUGGGCUAGAGUACCGAUGCGAUUUACAAAUAGUCCCACUUGGUAUCAUUCUGCAUUGAAACAAUCGUUAAAAGGGUGUACAUUUGAAGGUUCUGUGUUGGUACAGUAUGUGGAUGAUUUGUUAUUACCGUCAAAAGACGAAGAAACUCAUAUGCGAGACCUCACCACAUUGGUUGACUAUUUGGGGGAACAGGGUCAUAAAGCAUCUUAUGAGAUAGCACAACUAGCAAAGAAAGAGGUAACCUAUUUGGGGGUGUUGAUUUCUAAGGGAAAGAAUCAUUACCCGGGAUCGGGUAGAAACCAUACGUUCUUUGGCACGGCCAAACACUCCUUUCACACUCAGGAAAACUUUAGGAGUUUUCAGUUUUGUUAGACAUUUUAUUCCGUCAUUCUCUGAAAUUGCUGAGCCACUUACAGAGUUGACAAAAGGGGAGAAGGGUCCCCAUGAGUCGAUAGAGUGGAAUCAAGAGUGUGAGGAAGUGUUUGUCGAGUUAAAGAAGCAAUUGUGUUAAGUGCCAGCAUUGGGAUUGCCAAACCUAAAAUUACCUUUGAAAGUUUUGUUCAUGAACAAGAAGGACAUUGUAGCGCGGUGGUUACGCAAAAUCAUGGGGGUAGAGAGAGACCAAUAAUGUACUGGAGUAAAUCGCUAGACUCGGUGGCAAAAGGAAUGCCACCGUGCCUUAGGGCGGUACAGGCGACUGAAAUGGUGUUGCAUAACACGGCUUCCAUUACAAUGGGUCAAAAAGUAGAUUUGUAUGUUCCACACGCAGUAGCAACCAUUGUGAACAGCACGAAAGCACAACAUGUUACUAGUGCAAGAUGGACAAAAUGGGAGUUAACGUUAAAUGGGGAAAAUCUACAAUUUCAUAAGAUAGGUGCUUGAAUCCUGCGUCAUUAAUGCCGUUACCUGGGCUAGGUGAAUCGCAUACAUGUAACCCAAAUCAGAUUACUCCAAAACCUAGGCCUGCUUUGCAAGGGACAGCAUUAGAAUCGGGAAAAGUAUUGUAUACAGAUGGCUCUAGUUACAUGACCACAGCUUGGAAGAGAGUUACGGAUUACGCUGUGUGUGAUGACAGAGGAGUAGUAAAGGCUGGCCCAAUGUCAGCCUCGGUGUCAGCCCAGGGGGCGGAGGUACAUGCACUGGCCGAGGCUUGUAGGUGGUCGGAAGGGGAGAAUGUAACAAUAUACACAGAUUCUCGGUAUGCAUCUGGAGAAGUUCAUGAUUUCAGUACAUUGUGGUCAGAACGGGGCAUGUUAACAGCAACAGGAACACCAAUAAAAAAAUGGACUAGAGGUAGAGGCAUUAUUAGAAGCAUGUCAGUUGCCCAAUAAAUUAGCAGUGGUGAAAUGUGAAGCUCAUACUAGUCGCACAGAUAAUAUCGCCAUAGGUAAUCGUAGAGCAGACGAAAUGGCUAAGGCGGCUGCCUUGGUGAGAGAAAGUGUUAGAGAACCACAUGUAAAUAUUGUGAAUACGAAGGCUGGGAUUGUGACUCUAAUAGAUUUACAGCAGCAAACUAACAAGAAAUAAAUGUGGGAGUGGUUAACUUCCACAGCAUCAGCGAACUUUGUGGCAAAAACUUUGUGGAGGGAGGUGAUACCGAGAUGGGGCUUAUUUCGGACAUUAGAUUCCGAUCAAGGAACACAUUUCACUUCUAAAGUGCUACAAGCGGUAUGUAAGGCUUUGGGAAUCUCCCAUGCUUUUCAUUGUCCGUAUAGGCCGCAAGCGGCAGGGAUUACGGAGCGUCAGAAUCGUUCGAUUAAGGAGAAAUUGGCCAAGACUUUAAGGUACCGAAGGGAAAGACUGGGUUACAAAUGUACCCGUGGUACUGAUGUCAAUGAGGGCGUCAACUAAUGCCACUACUGGACUAACGCCACAUGAAGUGGUGACUGGCAGACCGAUGAGGGUUCCAGGGGCUGUUAUUCACAUGUCACAAAUUAGUGAUUUGGCAAUAAUGGGAGAAUCUAUGUUGUCAUAUUGUCAGAAAAUGACCCAUGCGUUGCAGUGUGUAUAUUCCCAGGUGAAAGCUGCACACGAGGAACAGGCGCCAGGAGAUAACCGAGAGCACGGGCUGACUCCUGGAGAUCGAGUGUACAUCAAAAUCCACCAGGCGGGGGCGUUGGGACGGCGUUGGUCAGGACCAUACACCGUACUACUAACUGCACCCGCAGCGGUGAAGACCACAGCCUCUCCUUGGUGGGUUCACACUUCUCACGUGAAGCGAGAUCCCACAGCAUAAUGGGAACCAGAAGGGGGAAGUGGAGAAACCACAGCCGCUCCAAAUGCCAUUGAACAAGACGGCAGAUUCAGCUGAAAUGGCAUUUUGUUAUGUGAUGAUAGAUGGAAAUAAAAUUGUGGGAUCAUAGUAUAGAGGCCAUACGUCUCUGAGUUUGUACACCUCGCGGUGACUGGCUGUUCAUUGUUUGUUCAUUUGUUUGUUUGUUUAAUUUAUGUUUUAUAAUCAUUUGUUAGUUUAUUUUUAUUCAUGCUUUAUUACUAUUGUUUAUCCCUUUAAGUAAUUUCCAAGCUUAUGUAAAGUGAACAUUAGGACGCUAUUGUUCAAGAGGAAGGACUGUUGGAAUCGGCUAAACUUUGAUCAUUGAGGUAGCAAAUGAAUGAUAGGAAAUGAAAGAGACUGGGUGUUAUGUUAGAAGAUAAUGGUUCUCUGAAGAAAGACAGAAGGCUUUGGAAUGUGUUUGAUGGAGGAGAGGAGAGCGAUGUGUUGAUAUAGGGAAGACAGAUGGACAUCUGUGUAUUGGAUGAAAGAGGGUUUAAGGUCAGGAGGUGAGGACAGAUUCUCUUAAGAGAGUAAUAAAUGUUUGGAAUCCUGUUACACUCUUUAUUAGCUUCCUGUAGAGCCAUAAAAUGGAAGGAUUGGAGAGAAAGAGGAGUGUCUUAAGUGGGAUGUAUAUAACUGUGAUGUGAUGAAUGUUUUGCUGUCUGAUUUCAGCUGUACAGAACCUUUGGGAAGAAUACACUUGGUUAAAGCUUC